rnacentral:rRNA from 1 species
GAUGAACGCUGGCGGCGUGCUUAACACAUGCAAGUCGAACGGAAAGGCCUCUGCUUGCAGGGGUGCUCGAGUGGCGAACGGGUGAGUAACACGUGGGUGAUCUGCCCUGCACUUUGGGAUAAGCCUGGGAAACUGGGUCUAAUACCAGAUAGGACCACGUCUUGGAUGGUGUGGUGGAAAGUUUUUUCGGUGUGGGAUGAGCUCGCGGCCUAUCAGCUUGUUGGUGGGGUAAUGGCCUACCAAGGCGUCGACGGGUAGCCGGCCUGAGAGGGUGUACGGCCACAUUGGGACUGAGAUACGGCCCAGACUCCUACGGGAGGCAGCAGUGGGGAAUAUUGCACAAUGGGCGCAAGCCUGAUGCAGCGACGCCGCGUGGGGGAUGACGGCCUUCGGGUUGUAAACUCCUUUCGCCAGGGACGAAGCGUAAGUGACGGUACCUGGAUAAGAAGCACCGGCUAACUACGUGCCAGCAGCCGCGGUAAUACGUAGGGUGCGAGCGUUGUCCGGAAUUACUGGGCGUAAAGAGCUCGUAGGUGGUUUGUCGCGUCGUUUGUGUAGUACCGCAGCUUAACUGCGGGGUUGCAGGCGAUACGGGCAUAACUUGAGUGCUGUAGGGGAGACUGGAAUUCCUGGUGUAGCGGUGGAAUGCGCAGAUAUCAGGAGGAACACCGAUGGCGAAGGCAGGUCUCUGGGCAGUAACUGACGCUGAGGAGCGAAAGCAUGGGUAGCGAACAGGAUUAGAUACCCUGGUAGUCCAUGCCGUAAACGGUGGGCGCUAGGUGUGAGUCCCUUCCACGGGGUUCGUGCCGUAGCUAACGCAUUAAGCGCCCCGCCUGGGGAGUACGGCCGCAAGGCUAAAACUCAAAGGAAUUGACGGGGGCCCGCACAAGCGGCGGAGCAUGUGGAUUAAUUCGAUGCAACGCGAAGAACCUUACCUGGGCUUGACAUGCACCGGAUCGCUGCAGAGAUGUAGUUUCCCUUGUGGCUGGUGUACAGGUGGUGCAUGGUUGUCGUCAGCUCGUGUCGUGAGAUGUUGGGUUAAGUCCCGCAACGAGCGCAACCCUUGUCUUAUGUUGCCAGCAUUUGGUUGGGGACUCAUGAGAGACUGCCGGGGUUAACUCGGAGGAAGGUGGGGAUGACGUCAAAUCAUCAUGCCCCUUAUGUCCAGGGCUUCACACAUGCUACAAUGGUCGGUACAACGCGCAGCUACUUCGUGAGGAGGCGCUAAUCGCUGAAAGCCGGUCUUAGUUCGGAUUGGGGUCUGCAACUCGACCCCAUGAAGUCGGAGUCGCUAGUAAUCGUAGAUCAGCAACGCUGCGGUGAAUACGUUCCCGGGCCU